GCUUGCUUCUCUUGAGAGCGGCGGACGGGUGAGUAAUGCCUAGGAAUCUGCCUGGUAGUGGGGGAUAACGUUCGGAAACGGACGCUAAUACCGCAUACGUCCUACGGGAGAAAGCAGGGGACCUUCGGGCCUUGCGCUAUCAGAUGAGCCUAGGUCGGAUUAGCUAGUUGGUGAGGUAAUGGCUCACCAAGGCGACGAUCCGUAACUGGUCUGAGAGGAUGAUCAGUCACACUGGAACUGAGACACGGUCCAGACUCCUACGGGAGGCAGCAGUGGGGAAUAUUGGACAAUGGGCGAAAGCCUGAUCCAGCCAUGCCGCGUGUGUGAAGAAGGUCUUCGGAUUGUAAAGCACUUUAAGUUGGGAGGAAGGGCAUUAACCUAAUACGUUAGUGUUUUGACGUUACCGACAGAAUAAGCACCGGCUAACUCUGUGCCAGCAGCCGCGGUAAUACAGAGGGUGCAAGCGUUAAUCGGAAUUACUGGGCGUAAAGCGCGCGUAGGUGGUUUGUUAAGUUGGAUGUGAAAUCCCCGGGCUCAACCUGGGAACUGCAUUCAAAACUGACUGACUAGAGUAUGGUAGAGGGUGGUGGAAUUUCCUGUGUAGCGGUGAAAUGCGUAGAUAUAGGAAGGAACACCAGUGGCGAAGGCGACCACCUGGACUAAUACUGACACUGAGGUGCG
rnacentral:rRNA from 1 species